rnacentral:rRNA from 1 species
GACGAACGCUGGCGGCGUGCCUAAUACAUGCAAGUCGAACGCAGUGGGGACGGGUGAGUAACACGUGGGUAACCUCCCAUCAGAGGGGAUAACACUUGGAAAAAGGUGAUAAACCGAUACUGAUGGAUGAACCCGCCGUGCAUUAGCUAGUUGGUGAGGUAACGGCUCACCAAGGCCACGAUGAAUAGCCACCCAUGGAGGGUGAUCGGCCACACGAGGACUGAAGCACGGCCCAGACUCCUAAAGGAGGCAGCAUUAGGGCAUCAUCGGAAAUGGACGAAAGUCUGACCGAGCGACACCGCGUGACUGAACAAGGUUGUCGGUUCGUCAAUCUCUGUAGUCCGAGAAGCGAUAUCUAACGAGAUAGCCACGACUAACGGCGUGACAGCAGCCGCGGUAAUAC